AGUGAACGCUGGCGGUAGGCCUAACACAUGCAAGUCGAACGGCAGCACAGUAAGAGCUUGCUCUUACGGGUGGCGAGUGGCGGACGGGUGAGGAAUACAUCGGAAUCUACUUUUUCGUGGGGGAUAACGUAGGGAAACUUACGCUAAUACCGCAUACGACCUACGGGUGAAAGCAGGGGAUCUUCGGACCUUGCGCGAUUGAAUGAGCCGAUGUCGGAUUAGCUAGUUGGCGGGGUAAAGGCCCACCAAGGCGACGAUCCGUAGCUGGUCUGAGAGGAUGAUCAGCCACACUGGAACUGAGACACGGUCCAGACUCCUAAGGGAGGCAGCAGUGGGGAAUAUUGGACAAUGGGCGCAAGUCUGAUCCAGCCAUACCGCGUGGGUGAAGAAGGACUUCGGGUUGUAAAGCCCUUUUGUUGGGAAAGAAAAGCAGCAGGUUAAUACCCCGCUGUUCUGACGGUACCCAAAGAAUAAGCACCGGCUAACUUCGUG
rnacentral:rRNA from 1 species